UACGGGGGGGGUAAGCGUUGUUCGGAAUUACUGGGCGUAAAGGGCUCGUAGGCGGCCAACUAAGUCGGACGUGAAAUCCCUCAGCUUAACUGGGGAACUGCGUCCGAUACUGGAUGGCUUGGAUUUGGGAGAGGGAUACGGAAUUCCAGGUGUAGCGGUGAAAUGCGUAGAUAUCUGGAGGAACACCGGUGGCGAAGGCGGCAUCCUGGACCAAUAUUGACGCUGAGGAGCGAAAGCCAGGGGAGCAAACGGG
rnacentral:rRNA from 1 species